rnacentral:rRNA from 1 species
CAGUCGCCGCGGUAAUACGUAGGGUGCAAGCGUUAAUCGGAAUUACUGGGCGUAAAGCGUGCGCAGGCGGUUUGUUAAGACAGAUGUGAAAUCCCCGGGCUCAACCUGGGAACUGCAUUUGUGACUGGCAAGCUAGAGUGUGGCAGAGGGGGGUGGAAUUCCGCGUGUAGCAGUGAAAUGCGUAGAUAUGCGGAGGAACACCGAUGGCGAAGGCAGCCCCCUGGGCCAACACUGACGCUGAGGCACGAAAGCGUGGGGAGCAAACAGGAUUAGAUACCCCUGUAGUCCCUGUCUCUUAUCC